rnacentral:lncRNA from 1 species
AUACAACUCCCUUAUAUGAACUAAAGGACCAAGACACCAACCAAAAAAAACUUUUAACCACACACACAUAUCACUCUAUACAGAUAUUUUAUCUUCUGUCCUUAAAAGGGACCCUCCUCUUCAUACUUCAAAGAAAAAACUUUUCAUUUGUUUUUUGAAAAAAGACUCUUUCACAACACCCAUCUAUAACCUCUCAUCUCCCUCUAACAACUUACUGCAACUACUCCAUGAAAACUCUUUACUAAACAUCACUCAACCACUUCGGCACUACUUAAGCACCUCCCUUCACACCGGAGGUGCAUGAACAAACGCAACCACCACUAAACAACAACUCAGCCACAAACCGCAUCCACGCAACAACCACAGACCGCUCUCUCUCCACCACCACAACAUCGUCGCCGAAGAUAUUGGAAGAUCACGAAAACAACUUUGGUAUUUUCUAACUUAAUUAAUAUUUAUGUACUUGAGUAUGUUCCCAUGAAAGUUGCAUUAUAAUAUGAAUCCAUACAUAUAUACCUAUAGAGUGGUAACCUGUUCUUUGCAGCUUUGUUGGAUGUUUAUAUCUGUUUUCUUCUAUUUUCUUUCAUUUGCUCUUGUGUUUUAGAACACACGCUUGUCUGAAUUCAUGGGUUGUCUACUUAUCUGGUUGCCAAGUUUAUCUUGUUUUGGUUCCAGGACAUGAAGUUUAAAAGAGGUGUUUUAAUUAUAUGGUUGUUGUGUUUUCAUUCAUAAGCCGAAUAGAUAGAGUUUGUUGAUGUAUUUUCAUGUUUUAUUUUUCCGCCUGUGUCAACUUGUGAUUAGUGGCUUUUGAGAAUUGAAAAAAGUUAUUCUAUCCCUUGACCUACACCAACAAACUCAGUAAUCCGAUGCUUCCACUUCUUCGUAGAAACCGUUGCCGGCAACAGAUUUCGACACAUUAUAACAGCUCAAACGCUCCGAAAAACUGUCGUCGUACUUUGAGAAUUUGAGAAUCACUGCAUUGCUAUGAAUCUCGUUUGUUUUUAUUCUCUUCUUUGUUUGCCUUGAUUUUUCCUUUCACUUUUAUUAUCUUAUUAACUGGAUUUUAAAGUUUGAUUUCUUUUGUUUCUUAGUUUGUUUUUAUUCAUUGAAAAGUUGAAUGAAGUUCAUGGCAGGAGUUAAGAAAAGAUAGGAAUAUAUCUCUCAGUGUCAUUUUCAGCUUGUGUUUUCACUACAAUAUUGAUAUGCUUACCUUUUUUAUGCUUACUUUUUUUUGUUCAUGUUAGUAUUAAAGUGAGUUUAUGAUUAGAAUCAUGGUAUUGUAUCAUGCCUUCUACUAUAUUAUGAGUAUUGAUGUGUUUUUACUGUGAGAUAUCAUAUUAAUAUUAGUAUGGUUACAUGUUUAAAAUACCAUUUUAUAUUGUCAACCAGAGAACCCCUUUCUUAAAUAUAUAUGCUAUUAAGUGUAAUGAAAAGAAAAGAGAGCUAGAUUGUGAAAAUGAGGAACGAACCCCCUUUUUAUUUUAUUUUAUUAUUCUUUUAAUUUAUGUUUUUUCAUUUAGGGCUAAUAUUUUGUGGGCUUGGAUUCAAAAGACCAUUUAAUAUCACACCUCAUUUAUUACAUGAACUAUCCUUUAUGCAUUUCUUUCUAUGAUUAAUGUAAAUUAGCAACUAAUUGCUUAAUUAAUAUUUUAUCUAAUUAGUUAAUUAGAGCCUAAUUGAUUAAUUACUUUUUCUUUCUAAGUGUAUUACUUGAUUACUUUUUUUAAGUCAAUCUUAUUGUGUUGAGUUGUUUAAUUAUACGAUCCAUGUGCAUGUCACCGCACAUAUAAAUAAUCUCUCGAUAUUUCACCACUUUACCAGUUUAAAAUUCAUUUCAAAACGAAUACAGUAAAUUUCAAACCAUUUUAAAAUCACUAACACAAUUAAAGCAUAACAUUAAAACUUUUUUUAAACAUAUACGAAAGAAAAUGACCGUUGGAAUCUAGCAUUCCGGUGGAACCCUCGAAUGAUCGGUCCCGAGCCUCGUGUUUUGGGUUAACCGUUCACUCUUUUCUUUCGCCCCUAAAACACUUUAAUUAACUUGGACAAAAUAAGGGCCGUUGGGAUCAAGCAUUCUGGCACAACUCUUUGAACAAUUGAUUCUUAUCAAGCGUUCGUUGUCCAUCAAACAAUUUUCUCAAUUAAUUCGAAUGAAAAAUGACCGUUGGAAUCUAGCAUUUCGGUGGAACCCCGAAUGAUUGAUCCUGAGGCUUAUGUCUCAUUCUCAUCUAAUGUUCAUCCUUCACCUAUAAAAAAUAUUCAACCAAUCAAACUAUUUUCUCGCCGCCGUGCGAUUAAUCUUCAAAACCUUUUCAUAAAUGAAAGACAUCUUGUCUUAAGAUGAUGCAAAUCAAUGCUUCGUCCAUAAUUGUUGAGUUGAGAUAAGUGACGUUUUUCCGAAUGUUGAUUGUAAAUCCAUUCGACGUGUGAUAUAUGUCCGCUCCUCAUCUGUUUUGGGUAAAACAAUGUUUUUCGUCGAUUAAUACAAUAUAGCUUUUACUAAAAUCGACCAACAAACAAACAUUUUUCUACCUAGAACUACGUAAGCCUUGAGUUCUCUAUUGAGAUACGUAGGAGCAGGAUUGCGAAAUCUUGUCAGGCCCAUUAAUAAAAAACUUAGGCUUAGUCCCCUUAAUUGUAAAAAUCCAAAAACAUUCUUCUCUCGUCUAUUCUUUCUUUCCCACCUAAUAACUCGAGAAGCCUAACAUUUCUAAACUAACAACACGCUAACAUUUAUCGAAACUAACUAAAUGGUUCCCGUUGAGUACAGCGGAUGUGAGGGGUGCUAAUACCUUCCCCUUGUGUAACCGACUCCCGAACCCUGAUAUUGGUUGCGAUGACCAUAUCUUAUCCUUUCUUUUAGGGGUUUUAUCGAUAUUUUUCCUUUCCUAUUUUGGGAAUAAAUAAAGUUCGGUGGUGACUCUGUUCAGUCCAUCCCACGAGCGUGCGAUUGCGCUUCGCUAAGUCGCGUUCUCAUUUUUCGAGGUGCGACAGAUGGCGACUCUACUGGGGACAGGAACAUCCCUAAGUGAGUCAACCCUAGUUCAGUUAAGUUUUCGUAUGUGUGUUAGCUUUGUUUGUUUAUUUUUCUUCCUCUGUUAUGUGAUUUCUUUAUCCCUACUUUAUCGCGUUUGUAUAUCUGUAUAUAUGUUCAUAUGUGGGCUUUGGGAUUUUUGAUAUCAUGAAUAAAGCUCUACACCCGAGCUUUGGAAAAAGAAGAGAGAACACAUAAGUUUAGAAUUGGAAGUUCUAUAGUGUUAGUCCCCAAGGGCCACUCCUUGCAUGUCUAGCAUGAAGACUCCCCUAGAGUAGACCUGUUUAUAGAUCUUGUUAUAAGGCAGCUAGCCUGUCGCAUGACGUUGACUCAUGAAGGGUCCAUGACUCUAGGAGCCCCUCUUAGAACCAAUUUCUACUUUGGUGGUUGCGUAAUGUUGGACUCCAAGGGCCUCUCCUUGUUGCACCCAACAUGAAAACCCCGCUCAGAAGAGACCUUUCGUCACUCUUGUCAUAAAGUGGCUAGCCUGUUGCAUGAUGUUGAUACGGUUAUGGUCCAUGACUAUGGAAACCUUAUCAAAAAUGUAGAAACUAUCCUGUGAGUGGGUUUAUGGGUAACCAACUUAGAACUAUCUAGAAGCCUACCAAAUAGGGUGUUUUGAGUUACCUUAUGAUAUCCCAAAACCAAAUACCAUGCGUUCAUGAUCAUUUGCAUAACAUCAUGACACUCAUACAAAAUUUUCUUUUCAGGGAAUUUUUGAAUACGCAGUUGCUAGCACGAAAAGUUUGUAAUAGGUUCAGAAAGAAGGAAAGCAUUACCAUUCAAAGCCAAAAUGCCAAAUAUUGCCAACAUAUCAAGACUUUUGAAUGAACUUCCUGCAUGCUUCAGGGUUACUUUGCAAGGAAAGUUUGGCCAGAUUUUGGAUCUCCUCUCAGUAGAUGUUCAAACACCAGCCAUCACCGUUUUGGCUCAGUUCUAUGAUCCCCCGCUUCGAAGUUUCUUAUUCCAAGACUUUCAGUUGACUCCAACCUUGGAGGAAUUCAACCGGCUCUUGGGAUUUUCUAUGAAAGGAAAGACACCGUAUAAUAGAAUUGGUCAGGUACCUGAGGUAGAGAUGCUAGCCCUUGCACUCCACAUCCCCAUAUCUGAUGCAUUGGCUAAUUGGAAAAAAAGGGAGAAUCUCUUUGGUUUUUGGAGGGCUUACCUAGAAGAAGAAGCAGAAAGGUUGUUUGUGAUACGUCAUUGGGAUGCAUUGGCAAAUAUACUAGCUCUUCUCAUAUAUGGGCUAGUAUUGUUCUCAACCUAUGAAGGUUUUAUAGAUUCAGCUGCCAUAAGUAUCUUUUGGACCGUUUGGAAGGAUAAACAAAGUUUGGUUCCUCCACUACUAGCUGACACUUUUCAUACUUUGCAUACUCGACAUCAAAAGAAGAAAUUAUAGAUUCAGCUGCCAUAAGUAUCUUUUGGACCGUUUGGAAGGAUAAACAAAGUUUGGUUCCUCCACUACUAGCUGACACUUUUCAUACUUUGCAUACUCGACAUCAAAAGAAGAAUGGAAUGUUGAUAUGUUGCCUUCCAUUUCUCUAUAAUUGUCUUAUCUCAUAUGUGUUCAAGCCAAAUGCUCACAUCAGUGAAAUGUCCAAUGGGGAAUGGGCAAGAACUUUGGUGUCUUUGUCUAGUAAGGAUAUCAUUUGGUACCGACACAAGCUGAAUGUUGAAGAAAUCAUUAUCAGUUGUGGUAGUUUCCCAAAUGUACCACUAAUAGGAUAUAAAGGUUGCAUCAGCUACAACCCCAUGUUAGCUUUGCGACAAUUUGGAUACCCUAUGCGUGGGAAGCCCGAUGAUAAAGAGUUAGAAGAGAUGGUUUUGAAUGAUAUGGGAACCAAUUAUCCUUUUCUCCUCCGUAAGAUCAUCCGAUCUUAGGAAAAGGUGCAUACCAAAGGAACAUAAUUAGUAAAGAAGAAUGAUGCAGCAAGGGUUCCUUAUUAGCAAUGGGUCUCGGAGAGGAUCAAAGUUGUAAAGCUCCCUUUUUCUAUAUAGAUUCCUCUAAAGUCUACUUCACCAGAACCAGUCCCUGUUUCUCUUGAAGAGGUGGAAGAACUUCGAGCCAUGGUAGCUAAACUUGGAAAGGAGAAAGAGGAUCUGCAAUCUGAACAUCUACAAGAAAACUGGGGAAAAUAUGAUUCUCAAGAGGAAGAGUAACCAAAGGAAGGAACUUUGGAGGAGAGUCGUAAGAAGAACAGAAUUGAGCAAAGAUCUCAAGGAAAGAGUCUUGGAGUGCCUAGAUCAGGCUGAUAGUGAUUAGGUUCACUCCAUGAGAGUUAGCUUAAGGCUAAAAGAGAUGGACAAGAGUGGAAGCGUUGGUGGGACCUAGCCACUAAGCAAAAGAAGGAGGUAAGGGAGGAGCUUGAAGCCCAAAUCCAAGAACUGAAGGAGAAACUUCGAAGCUCCGAAGCUGAAGUGGUGCAUGAAAGACGUCUUAAGGAACAAGCCCAAAGAGCCUCUCAAAUAUGUCCUAAAGCCUGGGAAGAGAAGUGUGAUGAGUUGAAUACCAACAAGGAGCUAGCUAGUUAUUGGAAGGAAUAAUAUGAGUCUCUGAAGAGCCAGAGCAUGGGUUGGCUAAAUCAUAGGAAGCAUUUGAAUGAGAUAUUGGAUGAGUAUGAAUGCACCAUCAACCUUCUGCAGCUAAGUGUUGAUGCAUACCGUACGAAGUUGGCUAACCUCAUAGAGUUUUGUAAUGGCGUGGCCAUAAACUUACCAUGGAAAUUAGAAAAUUCUCUAGAGGACAUGGAUGAAAAUAACACUCAUCCUUCGGCUCGUGACCUUGUUUUGCUUUGCGAAAGGAUGAUGCGAUGAUUCAAAGAAGAAUUGAAGACCCACAAAGAGCGAGUUGCUAAGAAGACUCUUUAAGUUGUUUGCUUCGUGUUAUUUCCAAUUUUUGUAUUUGGCUUAAUGUUUUGUACCCACUUUGAUUGUAUACUUCGUAAUCUUUGGCUUCAUUGAAUGAAUGGGUAUUGAAUUUUUGCAUCAGCUUCUGACUAUUGUCUUCUGUUUCUAUUCACAUUACUUUCAAAGUACGUGCUCAACAACUGCAAAGUUUAUAAGAAUCCCUAAAAAUAAAUAAACAUAAAAUGCAUUCAUACAUACAUUCAUGCAUUCUCCAUAUAAAUAAAUAAAAACUCAUUCCGUUUUCUCUAUUCAGUUACGUGCUCAACAACUGCAAAGUUUAUAAGAAUCCCUAAAAAUAAAUAAACAUAAAAUGCAUUCAUACAUACAUUCAUGCAUUCUCCAUAUAAAUAAAUAAAAACUCAUUCCGUUUUCUCUAUUCAGUUGUUACACACUGAGUCCUCAACACCACUACAACACGAGAGCCAACGCUCAUCAAAGAAUGGCAGAUCAAGAACAAGAAUUGGAGAGAGUAAGCUCAGAACUUGAGGACCUACGAGGAAACAUGGGUCAAGUCAUGAAAAUACUACAAGUCAUUAAGGCCAAAUUAGACACCCAAACGACAGUCAUUUCAGAAAUCACCGGUCCUACGAUUGAACCCCAACCUGCAAGGACAUUGCCUACUACUUGGCCAGUCUUCGGUUUACCUCCCGGCUUUACACCUUCAGUUGAAGGUGCCUCUGGAGUUGUACAACCCACUCAGCAAACAGUCCCUCUACCAACCAUCAAUGAAGCUCAUCUCGUGGUCCACACAUUUGCACCACCCCUUGUCCACGCAUAUGUGCAACCUUAUUUUGAAGAUCAACAACAUGCUCCAGAUUUUUCUGACGAAGAUGAUGAAAGGCAUGAAGACAUAAGAGGAAUGAAGGAGAAUUUUCAGAUUCUUGAGAAAAGGUUAAGGGCUAUACAACAACAUGCUCCAGAUUUUUCUGACGAAGAUGAUGAAAGGCAUGAAGACAUAAGAGGAAUGAAGGAGAAUUUUCAGAUUCUUGAGAAAAGGUUAAGGGCUAUGGAAGGUGACCAAGUCUUUGGUGUUGCUGCUAGGGAGAUGUGCCUAGUGUCUGGUCUCAUGAUUCCUGCAAAAUUCAAGACCCCGGAUUUUGAUAAGUACGAGGGCCACUCAUGUCCUAAAAGUCACAUCAUUAUGUACUGUCGAAAAAUGGCGGCGCACGUGGAGGACGAUAAACUUAUGAUGCAUUGCUUCCAAGACAGCUUGAGGGGUGCUCUCUCUAAGUGGUACUUAAGCCUUGAUCAAAGUAGAAUUCGUUGUUUCCAAGACUUAUCUGAUGCUUUCAUCCAGCAUUAUAAGUAUAACAUGGAUAUGGCCCCAGAUAGGAGGCAAUUACUCAGCAUGUCCCAGAAAGAUAACGAGUCUUUUAAGGAAUAUGCACAACGAUGGAGGGAAGUGGCCUCGCAAGUCGAACCACUCCUUGUUGAGAAGGAGUUAGCAUAUUGGUUCAUGGAUACAGUAAAACCCAUGUUCUAUGAAAGGAUGGUGAGUAGUGUAUCGGCAAGUUUCUCUGACUUGGUUGCCGUGGGCAUAAAAGUCGAGCUUGGAUUGAAGAAUGGCAAAAUGAUAACCACCAAUGAAACAUCCGGUAAUAAUGUCAAAAAGUUUUCCGGAGGUUUUCAAAGAAAGAAAGAGGGCGAAACAAACGCAGUGUCAACCAGUCAAAGAAGGAGUCACUCGUGGAAGAAGCAACAACAACAAAUUGCUCAAUAACAACCAACUUAUCCAGUGCAGUAUAUUCAACAACCGUAUGUGGUAGCAGUCACGCCAACUUUCAACCAAUCACAAGCUCCUGUCUAUCAACCUAUUCAACAAGCACCAGUAUACCAGCAAACACCCAUGCCACCCUCUUAUCAACAGCCAAGGGCGCAGGCUCCGCAUCCAUAAAAUCUUCCAAAUCAAAAUAGGGUACAAAGAGGAAGACCUCCUUUCGCUUCAAUCCCUAUGACGUACACUGAGUUAUACCCAUCGUUGCUGCAGAAAGGGUUGGUAACUCCCAGACCUUUGGGUCCCCCGCCAAAUCCUUUACCUCCAUGGUACAAUCAAGAUGCCCAUUGUCCUUUCCAUGAGGGUGCCCCUGAGCAUGAUUUAGAGGGAUGUUAUGCUUUGAAGCAUAUUGUGCGAGAGCUGGUUGAGAAGAAGAUCCUUUCAUUCCGAGAUGUUGGACCCAACGUAAAAAGUAACCCUCUGCCGGUGCAUGGUGAUGUUAAUGCCAUUGAGGAUGUUUCUGAUGCUUAUAUAAUAAAAAAUGUUGAAGAUGUUAAAACUCCAUUGCUAGCACUCCAUGCAAGAUUGGUGGGAGCUAGUUUGAUUGAUACAUGUCACGACGACUGUGAAGAAUGUGCCGUUUAUCCAAGGGGAUGUAAAGUGGUACGAACUGAUAUUCAAAACUUGAUGGAUCAAGGUGUUUUGCAAGCUUGUGGUCCUGCAACAAACGAGGAGGUUUCAGUCAUUGAACCCUUUUUCAAUCUACCAAAACCUGUUGAGAUAACUUAUCAAAGAAAAGAUGUUAUUCAUCCAUCACCCGUGGUAGUUUGUAUGCCUACCCCCUUUCCCUUUGAAAGCAUCAAGGCGGUGCCUUGGAAAUAUGACAUAAUUAUGGUAGAUGAAGUGGUAGAUAAAGAACCCAAAGAUGUUGAAGGUGAGAAAAUCUUGGAGAAUGUUAACACCAAUAUCACGAACAUCGCAGGGACAAGCAGAAUGACCCGCAGCGGUCGGAUUUAUACUCCUGAUGUCAAUAUAAUCCCUCAAGAACCAACAAGGGAAGCUACAACUGCAGUUCCUGCCCCAGAAUAUGGAGGGGUACAACCGACGGUGCAAUCAGAUGAAGCGAUUGAAUUUCUGAAAAUAAUAAAGAAAAUCGACUACAAGAUAGUCGAUCAGUUACAUCAAACACCGUCAAAAAUAUCUAUCUUGUCCUUGCUUCUGAAUUCCCAAGCUCAUAGGGAGGCUCUACUGAAAGUGCUUGCAGUUCGAGUACAAUGGGUUCUAUAUUGCCAACCGGUUAAGCUAAGGGUGGUCGCCAAUAUCACAGCCUGCAACACUCUAAGUUUCAGCAAUGAAGAGCUACCCAAGGAAGGGAAGAAUCACAAUCGCGCCUUACAUGUAUCUAUAAAGUGCCAAGAAGAUGCUCUGGGCAAGGUCUUAGUUGACACUGGAUCGUCCCUCAAUGUUCUACCAAAGAGGGAACUUGCUAAAUUAUCUUACCAAGGUUCGGAAAUGAAACCUAGUGCACUUGUGGUAAAAGCAUUUGAUGGUUCUCGGAGGACAGUAGUUUGGGAGGUAGAGCUACCAAUCCAAAUCGGACCGCACGUAUUCCCCAUCAAUUUCCAAGUCAUGGACAUAAAUCCCGCUUAUAGAUGCCUUUUAGGACGUCCAUGGAUACAUGCUGCUAGGGCAGCGACUUCUACUUUGCAUCAGAAAAUGAAGUUUGUCGUCGAUGACAAGCUCAUCAUUGUCUCGGGUGAAGAAGAUUUUAUCAUUAGUCAACUCUCCUCUUUCCGUUAUAUCGAGGCUGAUGAAGAUGCCUUAGAGACCUCUUUCCAAGCACUUGAAAUAUCCAAUGCCACACUUGCAGAAGUAAAGGAUCCUAUUGAGAAAACCNAGAGAUAAUGUUUUUGGAUUUUUACAACGAAGGGGACAAGCCUAAUUUUAUUAAUGGCCUGACAGAGAUUGUCACAAUCCUGCUCCUAACGUAUCUCAAUGAGGAAUCAAGGUCGUAGCGUAGUUCUUGUGUAGAAAAGAUGUUGUUUGGUUGGUUCGAUUUUAGCGAAAGCUAUACUUGAUUAAUCGACGAAAAACAUUGUUUUUACCCAAACCAAUGAGAGCGGACAUAUACCACACGUCGAAUGGAUUUACAAUCAACAUUCGAAAACUGUCCGUUUACUUAUCUCAACUCAACAAUUAUGGGACGAAGCAUUGCUGUUGCCAUCAUCUUAAGACAAGAUGUCUUUCAUUUAUGAAAAAGGUUUUGAAGAUUAAUCGCACGGCGGCGAGAAAUAGUUUGGAUUUGGUUGAAGUAUUUUUUUUUAUAUGGUUGGGUGAAUUGCACGAACAAUUUGAUGAGAAUGAGACAUAAGCCUCAGGAUCACAAUCAUUCGGGGUUUCUACCGGAAAUGCUAGAUUCCAAACGGUCCCUUUUUCAUUCGAAUUAAUUGAGAAAAUUAAUUUGAUGGACAUACGAAACGGUUGAUAAGAAUCAAUUGUUCAAAAGUUGCGCCAGAUAUGCUUGAUUCCCCAACGACCCUUAUUUUUCCAAGUUAAUAAAGUGUUUUGGGUGAGAAAGAAAGAGCACGUGAUACGGUUCAACCAAAACAGCGUUAGUCUGUGUGAUCCCGGAUCAUUUUCGUCCGGGUUCAUGUCGAUAUCCUAGAGUAUUCCAUACGGUCAUUUUCUUCCCGUUAAUGUUUUAAAAAAAUGUUUUAGAUUCGUUAUGCUUUAAUUGCUGUUUAUGUGAUUUUAAAAUGGUUUGAAAUAUUUGUAUUUUUUGUUUUUGAAAUGAAUUUUUGGAACUGAUAAAGUGAUGAAUAUUCGAGAGAUUUUAUUUUAAAUAUUGUGGCGGGUGGAAACAAUGCACAUGGAUCGAUAGUUUAAAACAACUCACACAAUAAGAAUUGACUUAAACAAAAGUAAUGCAAGUAAUACACUUAGAAAGAAAAAGUAAUUAAUCAAAUUUAGGCUCUAAUCAACUAAUUGAUAAAAUAUUAAUCAAGCCAUUAUUUGCUAAUUUAACAUAAUCAUAGAAAAAAUGCAGAAAGGAUAGUUCCAAUGUAAUAAAUGAGUUUGAUAAUAAUGGUACUUUUGAAUCAAGCCCACAGAAAUAUUAGCCCUAAUGAAAAAACAUAAUUAAAGAUAAUAAAAUAAAAUAAACGGGCGUCGUUCCACAUUUUCUUACUCCUGCCUUUCAUAUGUAGUGAAACACAAGCUGGAAUGAAACUGAGAGAUAUAUUCCCUAUCUUUUCUUAACUCCUGCCCAUGAACUUCAUUCAACUUUCAAUGAACAAAACGACUAAGAACAAAAAGAAAUCAAACUUUAAAUCCAGUAAUAAGAUAAUAAAGUGAAAGGGAAAAAUCAAGGCAAACAAAGAAGAGAAUGAAAACAAACGAGAGUCUAGCAAUCGGUGAUUCUCAAAUCUCAGACGAGACGUUUUCGGGCGUUUGAGCUGUUAUAAUGUGUUUGAAAUCGCGUGCCCGGCCAACGGUUUCUAUGAAAGUGGAAGCAUCGCAUUACUGAGUUGUUGGUGUAAGGUCAAGGGUAGAAUAACUUUUUUCAAUUUGCAAAAGCCACUAAUCAGCAAGUUGACACAAUGGCGAUGGAAAAAUAAAACCCAUGAAAAUUAAUCCAACAAUAUCUCUAUCUACUUUUCUGUUAUGAAUGAAACAACAACAACAGUUAUAUUAAAAACCUCCUUUCUUUUUAUAAACUUUCUAUGUUCCAUGGAAUUUCCAAAAAAGAUAAACUUGUGCAACCAAGAUACAGUAAUGACAGCCCCAUGAAUUAGACAAAGCGGUGUUUGUUCUAACAACAAUCAAGAGUGCAAAUGAAAGAAAAUAAGAAAACAAUUUAAACCCAACAAGUCCUCAAAAUAGUUAACACUCAUAGGUAUAUAUGUAUGGAUUCAAUUAUAAUGCAACUUUCAUGGAACAUACUCAACGGUACAUAAAUAUUAAUUAAGUUAGAAAAACAAAAGUGUUUUCGUGAUCUUCCAAUAUCUUCGGGACGAUGUGUGGUGCGUGGAGAGAGAGAGCGGUCCUGUGGUUGGUUAGCAUGGAUGGCGGUUUGUGGGCUGGAGUUGUUAUUUGGUGUGGUUGGCGUUUGUUCAUGCACCGCCGGUGUGAAGGGAGGUGUCUUAAGUAGUGCGACGUGGUUGAGUGAUUGUUUAGUAAAGACGUUUCAUGGAGUAGUUGCAGUAAGUUGUUAGAGGGAGAUGAGAGGUUUUAGUAUGGUGUUUGUGAAAGAGUCUUUUUCAAAACCAAAUGAAUUUUUUUUCUUUGGAGUAUGAAGCAGGAGGUCCCUUUUAAGGGCAGAAGAUAAAAGUAUCUGUUCUAAGAGUGAUAUGUGUGUGUGUUAAAAGUUUUUUUUGGUUGGUGUCUUGGUCCUUUAGUCCAUAGAGGAGGGAGUUUGUAUGUAUAUCAAUAUAUAAGAGUGAGAUCAACAUCUAGUUGGUAGGGAGAGAAAUUUUUGAAACCUGUAACGCAGCUUUGAUUCCUUCAAAACGGAAUCUCCCUUCUUUGCAGCUAUGGUGCGGUGGGGCAAGAUAGGGUGUUGGCUGCAAUUGUUUUGGCUUUUUCCACAUAUGCAUAGAAACCAUUCUUUAAUGAAAAAGGGAUCAACUUAAUUGAUUAUUUAUGGUAAAAGGAAAAUUGAUAAAUAACAUUAAAUUUUUAUAAAAAAAUCAAUUAUAUUUAAAUAAAACAAAAUAAAAAUAAAAAUAUAACAAAUCUAUUUAUUAUUUCAAAAUAUUAGACUGAAAAUAAUAAAUAAAACAAGAAUUCAAAUGAGUAAAAGUUGGGUGUAAAAAAUGCUCGAAAAAUUAAACUGAAUGCAACAAAAUAAUCAGUUCAAAAUAAACCUCUAAUAAAUAUACAGGUUUUGAUUAGAUUUUGGAAAUAUAGUAACAAAAUGCUCGGUUAAAACGGCUCAGACGAGUCAAAAUAUGCAUCGAGAAAAAUUAGUCGGCAAAAAAAUCGAGCACAUCAGUCAAACUACGUGAAAACGUAGAUUAAAAAACUUAUGUUGGCAAGCUUGAUUUGAAAAAUUUUUUGCACCUCUAUUUUGGACGCAACAUUGACAAUUGACUCAACCAGGUUUUUCCUGUAGAUCUCGAAAUUAAUUAAUUGACAAUUUAGGCAUUAUCAAGAUGAAAUGCAUGUAUGAUAUGCGUGUGAUUUAAGCAUGAAAAAUGUUAUUCGGGUCCAACCCUGGUGGUAAUGACAGUGCCCUAUGUUUAGUAUCUUCAACCAGAGAAUAUGAAGAAUGUUACUUCUUCAAUAUGAUCGUGGUAGGAGACUAAAUUAAAAUACUAAAAAGACCCGAAUUUUGUCUCUGAAUGCAAUUACAUGAUUGAUAUGUUAUGGAAUGUAAUGCAAUGAAGGACUCUUUUUGUUUGAGAUUAUGAAUCAAACAUAGAUAAACCCCAACAAAAAAUACAAUAUUAUGCAGACAGGCAAAAUCUGUGGGGAAUGAUGGAGGCAAGACACAAGGGCGCACAGAAAGACACGACGAGGGAAGUAAACUUGUCUAGGGAUAACAAUUCCUGCUGGAGAAGAAACUGGGGAAAUAUGCAAAGAGAUUUUUUAACAACAGGUUCAUACAGACCUGACAACAUCGACAAUAUUUCAAAGAAUUUUCACCAACGGGUUCAUACAUGACUUGUACAAAACUAAUAUUCAAAGAGUGCUCAAUUCAGGUUAAACAAGACAUUAAAAUGUGGGGAUAUCAAAAUGGUUCAUUAACAUGUUAAACAUGACCUGGAAAUACUGGAAAUUAUACAAAGAAAGUCCUCACGAAUAAUACAGACCUGAAAACAUUGAAAAAAUCAAGUGUUAACAACAGGUCCAGAACUGAACUGCAAAUGGCUCUAGAAAAUCAAGGAAAGUUUCAAUUAAUAAGGUUCAUACAUGAACCUCAACUUGGAAAAUUCAAAGUGUUUCACCACCGCGGGUUAGACAUGACCUAACAACAAUUGGAAAAUCAACCGAGAGUGUUUAUCAACAGGUUAUACAAUGACUGCGACACUGGAAUUUAAGAAAGUAAUAUCCACAGGUUCAGCAUGACCUGACAAUAUUGGAAAAAUAUACAAAGAAAGUUAAUUAAUAGGUUCAUACAUGACCUUACACUUUAGAAUACAUAUGACAGUGUCUGGAGAUUCUCACAAGAAUUCAUUCGAUCAAAGUUAUUGGAGAUUCCUAACAUGGACUUUAAUGAAAAAAAUAAUAAACGGGAGUCUUCUUAUAAGUAGAUUAUCCACGCAAAAGGCUACGAUGAUUCUUUACAAAAGAUAACCAAAACAAAACAACAUCAUUGGAUUUUCUAAACAUGAAAAAACCUCCAAGCUUUUGGGAUUCCUCAAAUGAUGAGUCAUACAUGGCUUUCAUGGAAACCAUGAAGGAAAUACAGGGUAAUAAUACUCCUGUAGUGCAAAACAAUUGGACUGACUGUAACCAUGGAUUACAACCACUUUUAACGAAAGGAUUUUACCAAUAAAUUGGACCUACCGAAGAGAAAUAAUAAAACAAAUCACACCGGCUACAAACGGAGUUUGCCAAUAACUAACUGACUUGAAAUGAUGUUUGGUGGACCAACCAAACUUCAAUACCAAAUUACAUUUGUAUUUUAAAUGGAGUGCAAUGAUUCCAACGACACUGGGUUAAAAUAAGUCUAGUAACAACUGAGACUUGGGAUAAUGCUAAGUUGGCAGCUGACUUUUAGAAGACACGCAAUGAGCCUUAAAAUAAUCAUAGAAAUGGAAUAGGGUUCUGGUAAGUGCAUUAGAACAAGAAUGACGCCCGAGAGAUUCUAACGCGAGAUAAAAAAGAAUAAUAUGGAAAUGCAUCAGAAUUACAAGUGAAUAUCUAUAAAUAAAUCAGAUAACAGACACAUCCGAUAAUACAUCAAGGAGGAACUCUAAAAAAUCAUCAAAUAUAGAGACAAUAUAUUGCGAGAAUACAUCAGAUAGAUGGUGAAACACCCUGGACACACAUUAGAAAUAUAAGACAGACAUAUUCGAGAAUACAUCAAUAACAAAAAGGGUAAAUCCGGAAAUUCAUGGAUAGUCCGAAAAGGAGUUAAAUCUCAUGAAAUGACAUAUUUUUUGAUAAGGUGCAACUGGUGUUAGGACUUGAAAAAGAUGACUGGGAAAACUGAAGACGGUUAGAGGGUCCAUAUAUGAAAAACUGGAAUUAGAGGUUCAAAGAUAUAGGAUUCAUAAGACGAAGACCUGGGUCAAAUGCAAAAUGAAGACGAAAGUACAUUUCGGCUAUGCAUGAUUUUGAAUUUGUUUUUUAAUGGCAUGAUUAUAUGAUGAUCAUGAUAUGAAAAUGCUGACACUUGAGGUCGACUGGGAGUUGUCGGGACUGUUUUAUAGAUAUUCUGAUUCCUCAACACACAUAACUCCAAUGUACAAGUAAAGGCGUAUCCAGAGGAGAAUCUAUUAGAUUGAUAGUUAAACUAUCAAAUGGGUCAUCCUCCAUAGGGUUAAUAGGUUGUGCUCCAUGGAGAUUCUUGUCGUGAUUCUAGGAGUGCUUACUGCAACCCUUGGACGAACUUUUGGAAAACAUAUGAUUUCUCUCUUGUUCACAUAAAUCAAGCAAAUUUUUUUCAAUACAUUUUUAUUCGUUUCAAAUAUUCAAAAAUUUCUUAUUAACAAAUAAAUGACACUUUACAUAACUAAAUAAAACAUAGAAGGGCACAAUUAACAAUGAUGAUAUAGCAAAACAUUUUUGUAUUUUAUUCAAGAAUUGUAGCACAGUCAAAUGGCGUAGCUCAUGGAAUGUUAAAUUUGAAAUGGCAAUAAGGAAAGGUUUAACGUGAAUAUUAGUGACCACCUACUGAUCCCUAAUAGAUAUGAUUCCAAAACUUGCUUCUAUACGGGAGUAACUGAUUUAAAUCCUUCCACCUCGGAUUCUUCUUGUGUCAAUUAAUAAACAAUUGAUGCAGUUAUGCCUUUGCCCCUAAUUUUUGCCUGGAUCGCCCCUUGUUCCGGGUUUUCAAUCCACCGGGAUGCUCUUUUUUUUGCCUAAGUUGCCCUUUCAGGUUUCAACUUACGAGCUAUCAUUUUUAUUCAUCCUACUUCUGCCUGGAUCGUCCCUUCGGGUUUUUGUUCCACACGGGAUCCACCUUUUUUUGCCUAUAACGGCCCCUUUCAGGUUUUCGACUUAGCGGGUUUUUAUUCAGGCACAUAGUAUUUUUUAACUACAUCAAGAGUUCAUGGGGGUGGAAAGCCUCUUUCAUCAUCCAUAGUUGUGGAAUCAAGGCACCUCCGGAGAAAGGCUUUCUUCACAACAUUGGCGCCUUCAUAUAUGGGAGUCACAUUCCCACGUGAGUCCUUGUGUAGUGGCAAAACUUCUUUGAGCACGAGGUCUCCUUCUCCUUAAUUCCCGAACACGGUACUUUCUUGUCAAUAAAGCCCUCUUGGCAUUUCUGGUAAUAACUGUCCAUGGCCAAAAGAAGUCAUUCGCGUCUCAUUCUAUGAGGUGUUUAACUGAUCAAAUCUGUUUUGAAUCCCAUUCAGCCUCUUCUAGCCUUGGUCUUCAUCAAGAUUCUUCAUUGAAGGUAUCUCCUUCAAUUGGGAGAAACCGCUUCCAUCCCAUAUACCAAAGAGAAUGGGGAUUUGCCCUGUUGGAAGUGAGGACGGAAGUCCGGUAUCCCAUGGCAGUGCAAAGGGGUAGCAUUUCGUGCCAAAAACUUUUAGGUUUUUUCCCAUUUCCUUGGGCAGGAUCCUUCUGAUGUUUUUAUUAAUAGCGGCUCAAACAGUGUCAUUAUCUUUGGCCGAUAUGGUGAAGAGUUAAUGGGCUGCAAUCUGAAAGCUUUCGCAUAUUUUCAGGUCCUUAUUGUUCAGAUUCGUACCAUUACUGUAUGAUCCGGUUGGAACUCCCUAACGAGCAAAUAAUCUCUUUCUUGAGGAACCGUGGCAACACUUAUUUUUGUCACAUUUAGCAAUAGAGGCGGCUUCUACCCAUUUGGUAAAGUAAUCAAUGCAACCAGGAUGAAGCGGUGACCAUUUGGAUAGCUUAGGCUCGAUGGCGCCAAUCAUUGAUGCCCCGCAUUGAGAGGCCACGGUGACCGUUCAAAAACAUUUAGUGGGUCUCGGAGGCUACGUGUACCUUGUCGGCAUAUGAUUUGGCAUUUAUGACAUUUUUUGCAUAAUGAAGCAAUCAGAUUCCCAUGUCAACCAGUAGUAGAACGCCGAGCUGCUCGAAAAUCUUCUUGGCGCAUGGCAUGCCCAUUAUGGCAUGGUUGUCCAAGGAUCCUUCAUGAAUCUCCUGACCAAACAGGGUCCUGUCUUCAAUGUCUAUCCACGCAUCUGUAGUCCAAAAUCAUGUUGUGGUUCCUCUGUAAUAAACAAGUACCAUUGCUUAAGAAGAAUGUCCAUUUCCUUAAUGUUUUUUCUUGUGAAAGGUUUGUUGCAUCUGUUGGAUAUUCUGUGGUUUUUAAAAACAGCAUUUGAAUGUCGUGAAACCAAGGGUUUACCAUCGGCUUCCUCUUCUUCAAUCAACUGACAGUAGGCCAGCUCGACUUCGCUCUCAUCUGAAAUGAGAGGCGCUUCAUUAUGGAAUCUAACUUGUACCAUUUGAAGCCAACAUAAGCGCAAAACAUCAGCUAUUUGAUUCUCAGUCCUCGGGAUAUGACAGAAAGAUGAUUUCGUCAAAGUAUUUAUUAGCUCAUGACAUAGGCAGACGAUAUGGAUCAACUUGGUAUACGGGUUUCCCAUUCACCCUUGACUUGUAUAGACACCAAGGUUGGAGUCUCCACUUACUUCGAGGAUUUUUAUUCGGAGGUCAAGUUGCUGGCUUCGAUGCUAGAAUGCAACGCCUCAUAUUCUGCUAUAUUGUUUGUGCAAUCAAUAAACACAACUUGGCUGUGAAAGGAAGUUAUCCACCAUUCGAAUUCAAUAAAAUAGCUCUACAACCAUGCCCCAUGUAAUUUGAGGAACCAUCGAACAUGAGCUUCCCAUCGGAUCCGGGUCCGGUCAUUCCAUCAGGUCUUGGGAUUUCAACAAUCUUUUAAGCUAACCUAUGUCUUCAUCAGGGAAGUAAAAUUUCAACGGCUGGUAGUCUCAACAGCUGGUUUACCGCAGGUCUCGAACAACAACGCUUUCCUUUAAUGGCUUCUGGGAUACAUAUUGGAUGUCAUACUCAGACAGUAAUCUGCCAGCGGGCGAGUCUUCAGUUAAAAGCAGGGGCUUUUCAAAGAUAUAUUUUAUUGGAUUCCAUUUUGAGAUCAAACAAAGUAGUGGACAAAUAUGUUUGUCUUAGGACAAGAGCUGCCCGCAUGCUAAAGCACAACAAGUUUCUCCAAAAGUUGAAUACCGGGUUCAUAAUCGGUAAACUUUCUUAGCUCAGAUAGUAGAUGUCAUGUUCUUUUCGGCCGGUUCAUCAUUGUUGUCCCAGCCAUCAAAUCCAUUGUACCUUUUCAAGCAGCAGUUCAUACAUAAAGAGUGGUUUCCCUUGAACAGGUUGGAAUUAGAAUAGAGGGCUCUUGCAGUAUUGUCCGGAUCAUCUCAAAAGCCCUUUGGCAAGUCAGAGUUCAUUUCAACUGCUUGAAUCUUUUCUAAGCAACUUGAAUAUAAGGUCGCACAGCGUAUGUCAUAUGAGAUAAUAAACGCCUAGAGCAAUAUAGUUUCAAACGUCCCAGGAAUCCUCUAACUUCUUUCUCUGUACGUGGAAGCAGGCAUUUCUUGUAUGCCUAAACGCUUGUCUAGGAUAUCUACACGCUCAAUUCCUUCGUUGACUAACACUGAAACAAGCAAACUUUCCAGAUCGGUCGACACCGAAGGUGCAUUUAGCAGGAUUCAGUCGUAGUUGAAAUUUCCGAAGACGCUUCAAAUAUGCUUUUGCAAGUGAUUGAUAUGAUCCUCUUCCUUUGGGAAUUUUGCAAUCAUAUCAUCUACAAAAACCUCAAUUUCCUUGGUGCACAUAUCUGGAAAGAGUGACCAAUUGCUCUUUGGUAAGUUGGCCCAGCAUUUUUGAGACCCAAUGGCAUUACCUUGUAGCAAAAUGUUCCCAAGGGGUCGAUGAAUGUGCGUCUUUUCCAUGUCUUCUGGAUCCAUCUUACUUUGAAUUAUAACCCGCGAAUCCGUCCAUAAAGGAAAAGACCGCGAACUUAGCAGUGUUGUCUACCAGAUGCGUCAAUAUGUGGCAGGGAAAUCGUCGUGGACUAAGCUUUAUUUAGAUCUGUAAAUAACACACAUCCUGACCUUGCUCCUUUUUGGGUACGGUAACAAUAUUAGCUACCCGAUUGAAGAAGUACUUUGCAACUGCUAGAAAAGCGGCAUCAAAUUGACAUUUCACCUCGUCACAAAUCUUUAGAGCCAGUCGGGUCUUGCUCUUCGAGCUCUUGCUUCAUGGCAGGGUACCUGGCUGUAGUGGGUAUAGCUUGUGGAAACAAUAAUCAGUAAUCUAAACCUGGCGUAUCCUGAUACGACCAAAGAAAAUGACUCUAUCAUAUUCUGAGAACUUGAUCAAUCUUUCUUGAUGCUACCAAGUGUAGUCAGAAACUUUGACCUCCUUUCUUUUCUUCCUAGUGCCAAGGUUGAUUGUUUCCACAUGGUUUCUUGGAUGCGGCUGAAGGGCCUUUGACUCGUGCUUGAGAGCCUUUCCAAAUUCCUCGGGAAUACAAUCUUCUCACUAUCCCUUUCGCUUGGUAGAUGGGGAUGUUCAAAGUUAGUAGGAGUAGUGGGGUUCCUCGAAUUCAACUAGUUUAUUGAUUAUUCUGCAUGUUUUUUAAAUGAUGGUUCUUAGAAAGUGGAAAUAAAAUGGCAACAAGAAUUAAAAAUAUUUCUUGUAGUUUUCGAAAGGAUUGGCAUUUUAAGGAAAGAAAAACAAAUAAAUGAACGAUAGAAUUUGAAACAAAAUGCUCUUUAUUUGAUCAUGAUUUUGAAAAUUUUUAAAGUGGCCCUACAAAUGAUCUGUUAGCCUUUGGGCAGAGCUAAGGAUUUCAAAAAAACAAAGGAAAACACAAUUAUCUUUGACACAGGAAAAACUUCUGGAAUCUCAAUUUGCUUACCCAAUUUGUUAAGGCUGAUUCACACCGAUAUAGUCAUAUUUGAUGCUUCUCCAUCUUCAGUGUCAUCUUCAAAUUGCACCAAACUUGAUCCCCAUGGCAAUCAUGUGCUUUAGCGAAAACUUCUCGUAUGCUCCGUAUGCAGUCCUUUGCAGGGACCGGGCCUCUUUCCUUAGCAGAAGACUUUGUACCCCAAACCAAAAUCGCUCAUUUUUCUCCGCUGACAUUGAGACUUGCCCCACACCUGUAGGACCCACUUUCAAACUGCUGACCUUGCGCUAUUCAAAGUAGGCGAACGACAACUGGUUUCUCAAUAGGAUCCUUUACUCAAGGCUAACAGAUCAUUUGUAGGGCCACUUUAAAUUUCAAAAUCAUUAUGACAAAUAAAGAGCAUUUUGUUCAAAUUCUUAUCGUUCAUUUAUUUGUUUUUCUUUCCUUAAAAUGGCAAUCCUUUCGAAAACUACAAAAAUAUUUUUAAUUCUUUUGCAUUUUAUUUCCACUUUUCUAAAGAACCAUCAUUUAAAAAACAUGCAGAAUAAUCAAUAAACUAGUUGAAUUCGAUGACCCCACUACUUCCUAUAACUUUGAACUCCCCAUCUACCAAGCGAAAGAGGAUAGUGAGGAAGAUUGUGAUUUCCCUGAAGAAUUGGAAAGGCUACUCAAGCACGAGUCAAAGGCCCUUCAGCCGCAUCAAGAACCAGUGGAAACAAUCAACCUUGGCACUGAGGAAGAAAAGAAAGAGGUCAAAGUUUCGACUACACUUGGGGUAAGCAUCAAAGAAAGAUUGAUCAAGUUGCUACAAGAAUAUGUAGAUGUAUUUUCUUGGUCGUAUCAGGAUACGCCAGGUUUAGAUACUGAUAUUGUUGUCCACAAGCUACCACUACAGCCAGAUUACCCGCCAAUGAAGCAGAAGCUCCGAAGAGCAAGACCCGACAUGGCUCUAAAGAUUUGUGACGAGGUGAAAUGUCAAUUUGAUGCCGGUUUUCUAGCAGUUGCAAAGUACUCUCAAUGGGUAGCUAAUAUUGUACCAGUACCCAAAAAGGAUGGCAAGGUCAGGAUGUGUGUUGAUUACAGGGAUCUAAAUAAAGCUAGUCCAAAGGACGAUUUCCCCCUGCCACAUAUUGACGCUCUGGUAGACAACACUGCUAAGUUCGCGGUCUUCUCCUUUAUGGACGGAUUCUCGGGUUAUAAUCAAAUUAAGAUGGAUCCAGAAGACAUGGAAAAGACCACAUUCAUCACCCCUUGGGGAACAUUUUGCUACAAGGUAAUGCCAUUUGGUCUCAAAAAUGUCGGGGCAACUUACCAAAGAGCAAUGGUCACUCUUUUCCAUGAUAUGAUGCACAAGGAAAUUGAGGUUUAUGUAGAUGAUAUGAUUGCAAAAUCCCAAAGUGAAGAGGAUCAUAUCAAUCACUUGCAAAAGCUAUUUGAGCGUCUUCGGAAAUUUCAACUACGACUGAAUCCUGCUAAAUGCACCUUCGGUGUCCGAUCUGGAAAGUUGCUUGGUUUCGUUGUUAGUCAACGAGGAAUUGAGGUAGAUCUAGACAAGGUUAGAGCAAUACAAGAAAUGCCUGCUCCACGUACAGAGAAAGAAGUUAGAGGAUUCCUGGGACGUUUGAACUAUAUCUCUAGGUUUAUAUCUCAUAUGACUACUACGUGUGGACCUAUAUUCAAGUUGCUUAGAAAAGAUCAAGCAGUUAAAUGGAACUCUGACUGCCAAAGGGCUUUUGAGAUGAUCGGACAAUACCUGCAAGAGCCCUCUAUUCUAAUUCCACCUGUUCAAGGGAAACCACUCUUUAUGUACUUAACUGUGCUUGAAAAGUCAAUGGGAUGCAUGCUGGGACAACAUGAUGAAACCGGCCGAAAAGAACAUGACAUCUACUAUCUGAGCAAGAAGUUUACCGAUUAUGAAACCCGGUAUUCACUUUUGGAGAAAACUUGUUGUGCUUUAGCAUGGGCAGCUCUCUGUCUAAGACAAUACAUGAUUUGUCACACUACUUUGUUGAUCUCAAAAAUGGAUCCAAUAAAAUAUAUCUUUGAAAAGCCUGCUUUAACUGGAAGACUCGCCCGCUGGCAGAUGUUACUGUCUGAGUAUGACAUCCAAUAUGUAUCCCAGAAAGCCAUUAAAGGAAGCGUGUUGUCUGAGUACCUGGUAAACCAGCCUGUUGAAGACUACCAGCCGUUGAAAUUUUACUUCCCUGAUGAAGACAUUAUGGUAGUAAAAGAUUGUGAAAUCCCAAGACCUGAUGAAUGACCGGAACCCGGAUCUCGAUGGAAGCUCAUGUUCGAUGGUUCCUCAAAUUACAUGGGGCAUGGUGUAAGAGCUAUUUUAUUGAAUUCGAAUGGUGGAUACACUCCUUUCACAGCAAGGUUGUGUUUUGAUUGCACAAACAAUAUAGCAGAAUAUGAGGCGUGCAUCCUAGGCAUCGAAGCAGCAAUUGACCUCCGAAUAAAAAUCCUCGAAGUAAGUGGAGACUCAACCUUGGUGAUAUACCAAGUCAAGGGUGAAUGGGAAACCCGUGAUACCAAGUUGAUCCCAUAUCGUGCCUAUGUCAUGGAGCUAAUAAAAUACUUUGACGAAAUCACUUUCUGUCAUAUCCCGAGGACUGAGAAUCAAAUAGCUGAUGUUUUGGCUAUGUUGGCUUCAAUGUACCAAGUUAGAUUCCAUAAUGAAGCGCCUCUCAUUCAGAUAGAGAGGAAAGUUGAGCUUGCCUACUGUCAGUUGAUUGAAGAGGAAGCCGAUGGUAAACCUUGGUUUCACGACAUCAAAUGCUUUUUGAAAAACCAAGAAUAUCCAACAGAUGCAACAACCCUUCACAAGAAAACAUUAAGGAAAUUGGAAUCCAAAUUCUUCUUAAGCAAUGGUGUGUUAUACAAGAGGAACCACAACAUGAUUUUGCUCAGAUGCGUGGAUAGACAUGAAGCAGACCUGUUGGUCAGGGAGAUUCAUGAAGGAUCCUUUGGAACUCAUGCCAAUGGGCAUGCCAUGGCCAAGAAGAUUUUGAGAGCUGGUUACUACUGGUUGACCAUGGAAUCUGAUUGCUUCAAUUAUGCCAAAAAAUGUCAUAAAUGCCAAAUCUAUGCCGACAAGGUACACGUGCCUCCGACCCUACUAAAUGUUUUGACGUCACCGUGGCCUUUCUCAAUGCGGGGCAUCGACAUGAUUGGCGCCAUCGAGCCUAAAGCUUCCAAUGGUCACCGCUUCAUCCUGGUUGCCAUUGAUUACUUUACCAAAUGGGUAGAAGCCGCCUCUUAUGCUAAUGUGACAAAAUAAGUGGUAAAAGCUUCCAAUGGUCACCGCUUCAUCCUGGUUGCCAUUGAUUACUUUACCAAAUGGGUAGAAGCCGCCUCUUAUGCUAAUGUGACAAAAUAAGUGGUUGCACGGUUCCUCAAGAAAGAGAUUAUUUGUCGUUAUGGAGUUCCAAGCCGGAUCAUUACAGAUAAUGGGACGAAUCUGAACAAUAAGACCAUGAAAGAAUUAUGCGAAAGCUUCAAGAUUGAGCACCAUAACUCUUCACCAUAUCGUCCAAAGAUGAAUGACACUGUUGAAGCCGCUAAUAAAAACAUCAAGAAGAUCCUGCAGAAAAUGGUGAAAACCUAAAAGGUUUGGCACGAAAUGCUACCCUUUGCACUGCAUGGAUACCGGACUUCCGUCCUCACUUCAACAGGGGCAACCCCAUUCUCUUUGGUAUAUGGGAUGGAAGCGGUUCUCCCAAUUGAAGUGGAGAUACCUUCAAUGAGAAUCUUGAUGAAGACCAAGCUAGAAGAGGCUGAAUGGAUUCAAAACAGAUUUGAUCAGUUAAACCUCAUAGAUGAGAAGCGAAUGACUUCUUUGUGCCAUGGACAGUUAUACCAGAAAUGGCUCAAGAGGGCUUUUGACAAGAAAGUACGUGUUCGGGAAUUCAGAGAAGGAGACCUCGUGCUCAAGAAGGUUUUGCCACUACACAAGGACUCACGUGGGAAGUGGACUCCCAAUUAUGAAGGCCCAUAUGUUGUGAAGAAAGCCUUCUCCGGAGGUGCCUUGAUUCUCACAACUAUGGAUGAUGAAGAGCUUUCACACCCCAUGAACUCUGAUGUAGUUAAAAAAUACUAUGCCUAAUAAAAACCCGCUAAGUCGAAAACCUGAAAGGGCGAUUUAGGCAAAAAAAAAGGUAUCCCGGUGGAUCAAAAACCCGAAGGGACGAUCCAGGCAGAAGUUAGGGAUGAAUAAAAAAUGAUAGCUCGCUAAGUUGAAAACCUGAAAGGGCAACUUAGGCAAAAAAAAGAGCAUCCCGGUGGAUUGAAAACCCGAAAGGGCGAUCCAGGCAAAAAUUAGGGGCAAAAGGCAUAAACUGCAUCAAUUGUUAUUAAUUGACACAGAAGAAUCCGAGGUGGAAGAUUAAUCCAGUUACUCCCCGUAGAAGCAAGGUUUUUGGGAAUCAUAUCUAUUAGGGAUAGUAGUGGUCACUAAAUUCAACGUAAACCUUUCCUUAUUGCCAUUUUCAAAAUUGUAACAUUCCAUGGAGCUACGCCAUUUGUGUGCUACAAUUCUUGAAUAAAAUACAAGUUUUGUAUAUCAAUCAUUGUUAAUUGUGCCCUUCUAUGUUUUAUUUGUUAUGUAAAGUGUCAUUUAUUUGUUAAUAAUGAAAUUUUGAAAUUUGAAAAGAAUUAAAAAUGUAUUGAAAAAAAAUUGCUUUGAUUUAUGUGAAACCAAGAGAGAAUCAUAUGUUUUCCCAAAAGUCUCAAGGUUGCAGAAGCACUCCUAGAUCACCGACAAGAAUCUCCAUGGAGCACAACCUAUUAACCCUAUGGAAGGAUGACCCAUUUGAUAGUUAUAACUAUCAAUCUUAAUAGAUUCUCCUCUGGAUACGCCUAUUACUUGUACUGAUUGGAGUUAUUGGUGUUGAGGAAUCAGAAUAUCUAUAAACAGUCCCUACAAACUCCCAGUCGACUCAAGUGUCAGCAUUUUCAUAUCAUGAUCAUUCAUAUAUCAUGCAUAAAAACAAAUUCAAAUCAUGCAUAGCCGAAAUGUACUUCGUGCUCAUUUUGCAUUGACCCAGGUCUUGUUAUUGAUCCUAUAUCCUUUGACCUCUAAUUCCAGUUUUUCUUUGGUACCCUUAAACCGUCUUCCAGUUUUCGCAGUCAUUUUCAAGUCCAACUCAGUUGGCACCUAUCAAAAAUAUGUUUUCAUGAGAUUUAACUCCUUUUCGGACUAUCCAAUGAAUUUCCGGAUUACUCUUUUGUUUAUUGAUGUAUUCUCGAAUAUGUCUGUCUUAUAUUCUAAUGUGUUUCCAGGUGUUUCCCCAUCUAUCUGAUGUAUUCUCGAAUAUAUUUGUCUUAUAUUAUGAUGUAUUUUUAGAGUUUCCUUGAUGUAUUAUCGGAUGUGUCUGUUAUCUGAUUUAUUUAUAGAUAUUCACUUGUAAUUCUGAUGCAUUUCCAUAAUUCGUUUCUUUUACUCUUCGGUGAAUUCUCGGGCUGUCAUUUUUGUUCUAAUGCACUUCCAGAACCCCUAUUCCAUUUCCUAUGAUUAUUUUAAGGCUCAUUGGUGUCUUCUAAAAUUCAGCUGCCACUAGCAUUAAUCCAAUCUCAGUUGUUACUAGAACUUAUUUUAAACCCAAUUGUCGUUGGAAUCAUUGUCACUCCAUUUAUAAAUACAAAUGUAAUUGGUAUCUGAAGUUUGGUUGUCACCAACAUCAUUUCAAGUCCAGUUAUUAUUGGCAAACUCCGUUGUAGCCGGUGAUUGUUUUAUUAUUUCCUUCGGUUAGGUCCAAUUGUUAUUGGUAAAAUCCGUUAAAAGUUGGUUGUAAUCCAUUGGUUACAGUCAAAGUCCAAUUGUUGUUGGCACAUACAGAGAGUUUGAUUACCCUGUAUUUCCUCAUGGUUCCAUGAAAGCCAUGUAUGACUCAUCAUUUUGAGGAAUUCCCAAAAGCUUGGAGGUUUUUCAUGUUAGAAAACUCCAAUGAUGUUGGUUUUGUUUGGUUUCUUUGUAAAGAAUCAUCGUAGCCUUUUGCGUGGAUAAUCUACUUAUAAGAAGACUCCCGUUUAUAUUUGUUUUGCAUAAAUUCCAUGUUAGGAAUCUCCAAAAUCUUUGAUCGAAUGAAUUUCUUGUGAGAAAUCUCCAGAACUGUCAUAUGUAUUCUAAAGUGUAAGGUCAUGUAUGAACCUAUUAAUUAAACUUUCUUUGUAUAUUUUCCAAUAUUGUCAGGUCAUGCAUGAACCUGUGGAUAUACUUUCUUUAAAUUUUCCAGUGUCGUCAGGUCAUGUAUGAACCUGUUGAUAAAACUCUCUUUGAUUUUUCCCAAUUGUUGUUAGGUCAUGUCUGAACCCGCGGGUGAAACACUUUGAAUUUUUCAAUGUUGAGGUCAUGUAUGAACCUAUUAAUUAAACUUUCCUUGAUUUUCUAGCAUUUUCAGGUCAUGUCUGGACCUGUUGUUGAAACACUUUGAUUUUUUCAAUGUUUUCAGGUCAUGUAUGAGUCUGUUGAUGGAACUUUCUUUGUAUAAUUUCCAGUAUUUCCAGGUCAUGUUUUAACAUGUUAAUGGAACCUUUUGAUAUCCCCCACAUUUUAAUGUCUUGUUUGAACCUGUUAAUUGAGCACUCUUUGAAUAUUAGUUUUGUCAAGUCAUGUAUGAACCCGUUGUUGAAAAUUCUUUGAAUAUUUCGAUGUUGUCAGGUCAUGUAUGAACCUGUUGUUAAAAUCUCUUUGCAUAUUUCCCAGUUGUCUUUCCUCCAGCAGAAUUGUUAUCCCUAACAAGUUACUACCCUCGUGUGUUUCUUGUGGGCCAUUGUUGUCUUGCCUCCAUCAUUCCCCACAGAUUUGCCUGUCUUGCAUAAAAUAUUUGUUAGGGUUUAUCUUAUGUUUGAUCAUAUCCUCAAACAAAAAGAGUCCUUCAUGCAUACAUUCAUAACAUAUCAUAUCAUGUAAUUUGCAUUCAGAGACAAAAUUCGGGUCUUUUUAGUAUUUAAUUAUCUCCUACCACGAUCAUAUGAAGAGUAACAUUCUUCAUAUUCUCUGGUUGAAGAUACUUAAAUAGGGGCAACUGUCAUACCCCAGUUUUGACCCUGAAUACAUUUUUCAUGACAUUAACAUCACACGCAUAUCAUAACAUGCAUUUCAUCUUGCAUAAUGCCUAAAUUGUCAAUUGAAUUAAUUUUCGGAUCUACAGGAAAACCGGUUGAGUCAAUUGUCAAAUGUGCGUCAAAAUAGAGGGUGAAAAAAUUUCAAAAUCAAGCUUGCAAACAUAAGUUUUUUAAUCUACGUUUCACGUAGUUUGACCUGAUGUGCUCGAUUUAUUUUGCGACUAAUUUUUCGAUCAUAUUUUGACUCGUCUGAGCGUUUUAACCGAGCAUUUUUUUUAUAUAUUUCAAAAUCUAAUCAAAACCUGUAUAUUUAUUAGAGGUUUAUUUUGAACUGAUUAUUUUGGUGCAUUCAGUUUAAUUUUUCGAGCAUUUUUACACCCAACUUUUACUCAUUUUGAAUCUUGUUUUAUUUUUAUUUUUCAAGUCUAAAUAUUUGAAAUAAUUAAAUAGAUUUGUUUAUAUUUUUAUUUUUAUUUUUGUUUAUUUAAAAUAAUUUGAUUUUUUUAAAAAUUUAGUUAUUUCAAUUUCCUUUUACCAUAAAUAAUCAAUAAGUGAAUCCCUUUUUCAUAAAAAGAUUGAUUUUUUUAAAAAUUUAGUUAUUUCAAUUUCCUUUUACCAUAAAUAAUCAAUAAGUGAAUCCCUUUUUCAUAAAAAGAAUUGGUUUCUAUGCAUAUGGAAAAAAGCCAAAACAAUGCAGGCCACACCCUAUCUCCCACACGGCACAUAGCUGAAGAAGGGAGAUUCCGUUUUGAAAGAAUAAAGAGUGGUUACAGGUUUCCAAAAAUGUCUCUCCCUACCAACUAGAAUGUGAUCUCACUCUUUAUAUAUUGAUAUACAUACAACUCCCUCCUAUGGACUAAAGGACCAAGACACCAACCAAAAAAACUUUUAACCACACACACAUAUCACUCUAUACAGAUACUUUAUCUUCUGCCCUUAAAAGGGACCCUCCUCUUCAUACUCCAAAGAAAAAAAAAUUCAUUUGUUUUUUGAAAAAAGACUCUUUCACAACACCCAUCUAUAACCUCUCAUCUCCCUCUAACAACUUACUGCAACUACUCCAUGAAAACUCUUUACUAAACAUCACUCAACCACGUCGGCACUACUUAAGCACCUCCCUUCACACCGGCGGUGCAUGAACAAACGCAACCACCACCAAAUAACAACUCAGCCACAAACCGCAUCCAUGCAACAACCACAGACCGCUCUCUCUCCACCACCACAACAUCGUCCCCGAAGAUAUUGGAAGAUCACGAAAACAACUUUGGUAUUUUCUAACUUAAUUAAUAUUUAUGUACUUGAGUAUGUUCCCAUGAAAGUUGCAUUAUAAUAUGAAUCCAUACAUAUAUACCUAUGAGUGUUAACUAUUUUGAGACUUUGUUGGAGUUUAAUAUUGUUUUCUUAUUUCUUUCAUUUGCAUCUUGAUUGUUGUUAGAACAAACACGCUUUGCUGAAAUUCAUGGGCUGUCAUACUUAUCUUGGUUGCACAAGUUUUAUCUUGUUUUGGAAAUUCCAUGGAACAUAGAAAGUUUAUAAAAAGAAAGGAGGUUUUUUAAUAUAACUGGUUGUUGUUGUUUUCAUUCAUAACAGAAAGUAAGAUAGAGAUAUUGUUGAUUAAUUUUCAUGGGUUUUAUUUUUCCAUCGCCAUGUGUCAACUUGUGAUUAGUGGCUUUUGAGAAUUGAAAAAAGUUAUUCUAUCCCUUGACCUACACCAACAAACUCAGUAAUCCGAUGCUUCCACUUCUUCAUAGAAACCGUUGCCGGCAACGGAUUUCAACACAUUAUAACAGCUCAAACGCUCCGAAAAACUGUCGUCGUACUUUGAGAAUUUGAGAAUCACCGCAUUGCUAUGACUCUCGUUUGUUUUCAUUCUCUUCUUUGUUUGCCUUGAUUUUUCCUUUCACUUUUAUUAUCUUAUUAACUGGAUUUUAAAGUUUGAUUUCUUUUGUUUCUUAGUCUGUUUUGAUUCAUUGAAAAGUUGAAUGAAGUUCAUGGCAGGAGUUAAGAAAAGAUAGGAAUAUAUCUCUCAGUUUCAUUUCCAGCUUGUGUUUUCACUACAGUAUUGAAAAGGCAGGAGUUAAGAAAAUGAGGAACGACCGCCCUUUUUAUUUUAUUUUAUUAUUCUUUUAAUUUAUGUUUUUUCAUUUAGGGCUAAUAUUUUGUGGGCUUGGAUUCAAAAGACCAUUUAUUAUCAAACCUCAUUUAUUACAUGAACUAUCCUUUCUGCAUUUCUUUCUAUGAUUAAUGUAAAUUAGCAACUAAUUGCUUGAUUAAUAUUUUAU